rnacentral:rRNA from 1 species
UACGGAGGGAGCUAGCGUUGUUCGGAAUUACUGGGCGUAAAGCGCACGUAGGCGGCUAUUCAAGUCAGAGGUGAAAGCCCGGGGCUCAACCCCGGAACUGCCUUUGAAACUAGGUAGCUAGAAUCUUGGAGAGGUCAGUGGAAUUCCGAGUGUAGAGGUGAAAUUCGUAGAUAUUCGGAAGAACACCAGUGGCGAAGGCGACUGACUGGACAAGUAUUGACGCUGAGGUGCGAAAGCGUGGGGAGCAAACAGGG